rnacentral:rRNA from 1 species
GGCGACGACGGGUAGCCGGCCUGAGAGGGCGACCGGCCACACUGGGACUGAGACACGGCCCAGACUCCUACGGGAGGCAGCAGUGGGGAAUAUUGCACAAUGGGCGAAAGCCUGAUGCAGCGACGCCGCGUGAGGGAUGAAGGCCUUCGGGUUGUAAACCUCUUUCAGCAGGGAAGAAGCGCAAGUGACGGUACCUGCAGAAGAAGCGCCGGCUAACUACGUGCCAGCAGCCGCGGUAAUACGUAGGGCGCAAGCGUUGUCCGGAAUUAUUGGGCGUAAAGAGCUCGUAGGCGGUUUGUCGCGUCUGGUGUGAAAACUCGAGGCUCAACCUCGAGCUUGCAUCGGGUACGGGCAGACUAGAGUGCGGUAGGGGAGACUGGAAUUCCUGGUGUAGCGGUGGAAUGCGCAGAUAUCAGGAGGAACACCGAUGGCGAAGGCAGGUCUCUGGGCCGCAACUGACGCUGAGGAGCGAAAGCAUGGGGAGCGAACAGGAUUAGAUACCCUGGUAGUCCAUGCCGUAAACGUUGGGCACUAGGUGUGGGGCUCAUUCCACGAGUUCCGUGCCGCAGCAAACGCAUUAAGUGCCCCGCCUGGGGGAGUAC